ensembl:lncRNA
CCCCCAUUGCUCUUUUUCUCAGUAAAAGCCAGUUGAAUCGCUGAGUGUAUCAUCAUUACAUCAACACUACAAAGGUCAGCUAAUAAUAUGCAUCCCUUACAGGAAAUGAACAUAACAAGCAAACCAUAAUGUUAAAAAUCACCUGACCUCAAUCAUCAUCUCUCCAAACCCCUCCCCCCUCUAUACCCUAAUAAAACCCAUCACUGAUCCCAUCUUUAUUUAUAGAAAUAUUUAAGUGCGAAUAGAAUCAAAUGUGUUUUUAACAUUUAUUAAAUAAUGUAAUAAUACAUUUUAUUAUUAUAUUAUUAAUAAAUAAUAAUUAAUAUUUAUUAUUAAGUUGCUAAAGGGCAACUUGUCUAUAAAAAAAUAAAAAAUAAAAACUGAAAACAGGGGUCACGGUCUAACAGGUUUUUACUCUACUGAGGUUUGCUUCAGUUUAACUCAAUUCAUUAAUUAAAAUGUCUGUUUAAAUGUCUGGUUUUCCAAUCCACGAGUUCCCUUUGUGCAAUGAUUUGGAAACCUGCAUGUGGACCUGAACUAUCAUUAAAAUAAUUAAAUACAUGACUUUUUAUUCACAGAAUGAUGUGUUUUCUAAAAGGUAGUUCCCAUCAUCGGUGUGAGUUAGUGACCCAAUUCACAAAAAGGACAUUUAAUAUACUUUUUUCUCUCUUUCUGACAAGAGUUUGAAAGAAUAAGAAAUCAAAAAUAGAAAAAGACAUCAUUCCAAAGAUGCAUUUUCAAACAAACACAUUUAGAUGUGAACAAUUAGAUCACAGCUAGCAUUCUCCAAUACCAAAAUAGGAUACUCUGUGAGAAGGAAUGAAGUGGGAGGAGGGGCAUCAUUUUUACCAUUCCCCUCUAUAUCCCUGGCCCCUCAGAGAGACAGGUCCUAACAUUGGCCCCUCAAAGAGACAGGUCCUAACACUGGCCCUAACACUGGCCCUUCAGAGAGACAGGUCCUAACACUGGCCCCUCAGAGAGACAGGCCCUAACACUGGCCCCUCAGAGAGACAGGUCCUAACACUGGCCCCUCAGAGAGACAGGCCCUAACACUGGCCCCUCAGAGAGACAGG